rnacentral:ncRNA from 1 species
CCUGCCCGGGUCUGUGGUUGCGGGCGCGCAGGCGUCCCAGUCCAAGGUAGAUGCGGCCGAAAGGACCCACGUAAGCCGGCGGUUCGCCGUCGCGCGAGCAUGGCGCAUCUUAGGGGUAAGUCGUACCGCCCGAUUACAGUCGCAUCCCGCGGCUUCGGGCGAGAGGGCCGGUAGUGAGAUCACAUCAAGCGGAAGCUCCGGUAUGCGAGUGUGGGGCCAAAGACCAGGUCAGCCGGGCGGG